GGCCCUGUGGCGCAACUGAAUAGCGCAUCAGAUUUCGGCUCUGAGGGUUGGGGGUUUGAAUCCCUCCAGGGUCA
rnacentral:tRNA from 1 species